rnacentral:misc_RNA from 1 species
GGCGUGUGCACACAGGUCGGUGAACGUAAGCCGGUGUCUUUCGUUUGAACGCUUGGUGUAAGCAUAUAUGCCGUUCUUUCACAAUGGAAUGAGAUAUGCCCAUGUUUUACCCUGGAACAAAAUAUGCUGAGUACGGAAUCUUUAUCAAUAUCAGGAGUCAGAAUGAAUAGGGAUACAAAUCAAGUGAAAGAAGUUUGGAGAAAAAUAAAAAAUGGAGUCAACUCCACCCCUACCAUGGUUUUUUCUGUGAUCGGAGACUCCGACAGUUUUGUCCCCAAACCCUGGCCAAAGACAGUGUUCCAGACAGCUCUUAUAGAAGCAGCAAAGAGUGGGGGAGAAACGUGGAUUUUGUAUCGUGGUCAGGAAAAAGGGGUUUCAAAGUUUGUGAGAGAGGCAUACCAGAGUUAUGGAGACAUGGAGUUCGGGAAUAACAACACAAGAGAAAAAAUUGGCGUUAAUGAUACAAACAGGCAUAUCAAACUUAUCGGCAUUGCUAGGGAAGGGGCCUUUCGGACAGAAAAUUUAACCGAUCCUUACUUCGAGAUCAAUGGUGAGGAUAAUGACAGUUUUCUUUUGGAUUUUGAAAAAUAUGUUUCCGAGCAAGACGUUUCAUUCUUCAGUCAGAAAAUGGACAUCAAAAUGCCGGUUCCAAUAGCGAUAAUAGUUUGCGAGGGGGACAUUGAAACCAUUGCCCAUAUAGCAGCUGCACUCGAAAACAAACUUCCUGUUAUCAUCAUGAAAGGAUCCGGAAAAGCUGCCGAUCUAGUGUUUGAUUUCAUAGAAAAUGAAGAACAGCUUCGAAAGAAGGCCAGUGUUUUAUUUGGUAUUCGAUUUGAUGAUAAGAAAUAUAGUGAGCUGAAAACACAACUAAAGAUAAUCAAGGAAAACAAAGAUUUGGUCGGAGUUUUUGACCUUUACCAAGAUGACCCACUUAUGCUGUCUAACAUUGUGGGAGAGGCAGUGGUCAGUUGUUGGUCAAUGGAGAACAUUCUCCAAAGAGACAUCAAUGAUUCGGAGAUGCCUAAUACACAGAACUUGCGCCCUAAAACUGCUUUUCCCCACUCUCAAACUAACGGAACAACUAUCAAAGGGUCAUCGCUAGCUUGGAAACUACUGCGCAGAAACUCCGUCAACCCCGAAAAAAAGGUUAUAGAUCAGAUUUUGGGAGGAUUCAAAUUGGAAUCCAGGCCUUACGUAUUAAAUCCAAAGUACUCUACCCCAACGUCACUUCCUUUAUAUUUUUAUUUCGGAUAUCAAAUUUUGCAAGAAUCAAAUCUUAUGGAGGAUUGUGGACCUGUACUUCUUCUAGAGGCAUUAAAAGCAAAUCGAUGUGAUUAUGUAAGAGUUUUAUUGGACCAGGGGGUAAAUUUCGAUCCAAAAAAUUUACCAGAGUUGUAUGAACAGACAGUGUCAUGCAAGGAUUGUAAAUUCAAAAAAGAAGAUUGUCUGCACAUGCAGUGGAUAUUAAAGCAAAUCGAAGAGAACCAUGCUAAAAAAGUUUGUCAUAAGUAUAGGUCUAAGGUAUUAAAAAUG